rnacentral:rRNA from 1 species
AUUGAACGCUGGCGGCAGGCCUAACACAUGCAAGUCGAGCGAGCGGCGGACGGGGGAGUAAUGUAUGGGAAACUGCCCGAUGGAGGGGGAUAACUACUGGAAACGGUAGCUAAUACCGCAUACUAUCGGAUGUGCCCCGAUGGGAUUAGCUAGUAGGUGGGGUAAUGGCUCACCUAGGCGACGAUCCCUAGCUGGUCUGAGAGGAUGACCAGCCACACUGGAACUGAGACACGGUCCAGACUCCUACGGGAGGCAGCAGUGGGGAAUAUUGCACAAUGGGCGCAAGCCUGAUGCAGCCAUGCCGCGUGUAUGAAGAAGGCCUUAGGGUUGUAAAGCACUUUCAGCGGGGAGGCGUUACCCGCAGAAGAAGCACCGGCUAACUCCGUGCCAGCAGCCGCGGUAAUUC